rnacentral:rRNA from 1 species
GACGAACGCUGGCGGCGUGCUUAACACAUGCAAGUCGAACGGAAAGGCCCUUUCGGGGGUGCUCGAGUGGCGAACGGGUGAGUAACACGUGGGUGAUCUGCCCUGCACUUUGGGAUAAGCCUGGGAAACUGGGUCUAAUACCGGAUAGGACUACGGCCUGCAUGGGUUGUGGUGGAAAGCUUUUGCGGUGUGGGAUGGGCCCGCGGCCUAUCAGCUUGUUGGUGGGGUGAUGGCCUACGAAGGGGACGACGGGUAGCCGGCCGGAGAGGGUGUCCGGCGACACUGGGACUGAGAUACGGCCCAGACUCCUACGGGGGGCAGCAGUGGGGAAUAUUGCACAAUGGGCGCAAGCCUGAUGCAGCGACGCCGCGUGAGGGAUGGAGGCCUUCGGGUUGUGAACCUCUUUCACCCACGACGAAGCGCAAGUGACGGUAGUGGGAGAAGAAGCACCGGCCAACUACGUGCCAGCCGCCGCAGUAAGAC